rnacentral:precursor_RNA from 12 species
CGAGGAGGACGCAACUGUCUUUCUAUAUGUACCCUGUAGAUCCGAAUUUGUGUAAAAGGAAGUUGGGUCACAAAUUCGUAUCUAGGGGAAUAUGUAGUUGACACAAACACUACAAACUCAG